AAUCUUUCGCAAUGGGCGCAAGCCUGACGACGCAACGCCGCGUGGAGGAUGAAGGUCUUCGGAUUGUAAACUCCUGUUGCCAGGGACGAAAAGCUUCGACCUAACACGUUGAAGUCUGACGGUACCUGGUGAGGAAGCCCCGGCUAACGCUGUGCCAGCAGCCGCGGUAACACGUAGGACGCAAGCGUUAUCCGGAAUUACUGGGCGUAAAGAGCGUGUAGGCGGUGCUGUAAGUCAACCGUGAAAGCUCCCGGCUAAACUGGGAGAGGUCGGAUGAGACUGCAGCGCUAGUGGGUCGUAGAGGAAUGUGGAAUUCCGGGUGUAGUGGUGAAAUGCGUAGAGAUCCGGAGGAACACCAGAGGCGAAGGCGGCAUUCUGGACGACAUCAGACGCUGAGACGCGACAGCACGGGGAGCGAAC
rnacentral:rRNA from 1 species